rnacentral:rRNA from 1 species
AACGAACGCUGGCGGCAGGCCUAACACAUGCAAGUCGAGCGGAAACGAUCCUAGCUUGCUAGGAGGCGUCGAGCGGCGGACGGGUGAGUAACGCGUGAGAAUCUACCCAUGAGUGGGGGACAACCCGGGGAAACUCGGGCUAAUACCGCAUACGCCCUACGGGGUAAAGCAGGGGACCUUCGGGCCUUGCGCUGAUGGAUGAGCUCGCGUCGGAUUAGCUUGUUGGUGAGGUAAAGGCUCACCAAGGCGACGAUCCGUAGCUGGUCUGAGAGGAUGAUCAGCCACACCGGGACUGAGACACGGCCCGGACUCCUACGGGAGGCAGCAGUGGGGAAUCUUGGACAAUGGGGGCAACCCUGAUCCAGCCAUGCCGCGUGUGUGAAGAAGGCCUUCGGGUUGUAAAGCACUUUCAGCAGGGAGGAAGGCUUACCCCUAAUACGGGUGAGUACUUGACGUUACCUGCAGAAGAAGCACCGGCUAAUUUCGUG